CACAUUUCAUGCUUCAUUCCACUCAUUUCAUGUUUAACCUCAUUUUCAAGAAACCGAUGGAAAUGAUUUCUCAGAUGAUUGAUUUCUUCAUUAAGUUUUUCAACGUCCUUUGUAGGAAAAUCCGAUUCUUUCAAGUUGCCAAUUCUCUCCAGAGAUGUCGUGCUAAAAUUCAAAGCAGUGAACGCGUCUUUGGCGUGCUUGACAUAGUCAUCGAAUGUGACUUUAUUAAUUUGAGGGUUGGAUGUAUGACAAAGAAUGUUUCGUAAAAGACGAAGCUGAUCAAUGGCAAGUGCAAUCGUCUCAUUUGCAUCUCCACUCGAGCUCCUCACUGCAGAGUGGAAUGGAGCAGGGGCUGGCUUUCGUCCUUUCAAAUACAUUUCUCCAAGCGUCUUUUUCUUUCCUGUGCUGUCUGGUAGCGCAAAUGUUCUUGCAUACAGAGUAGCUUGGAAUAGUGCAGUACAGUCCCACUUUUCAAAUGGUUCGUUCAUAGGGAGUUUUGCAGCCACAUCGCAUUGGAGCUUAUUGCGUCCAGGAGGCGAAUCAUCCCAAAAUGUGGAACUUGGUGCAACUCUGGUGUCCCACAUGUCUACAAAGAUGCUACGCAAAGCAUCUGGGAAUUCCUUUAGGGCAAACGACGCAAACUUAAAGUAGUUCAGCUCUUCAUCAGAAUACGGCUGCACAGACAUGUUGGCUGAGUUU